rnacentral:misc_RNA from 1 species
CAGCAACGUCCACUGGGGCAUACCUCUUCAUUUACGGCGAACGGUUGUUUCUCAAUCGGGAGCAUUUGUUGGGAUUUCCUGUGCUGUGUACCUACUCUAGGGCAUGCUGUUGCUUGGUUAAUGUUGAUUUUCAUCGCACGUCACGCAAGUGGCGUGGGAUGAACUAGAACUGGCCCCUCUAUGAUCCAUGUCUUCGACGCUUUGUGUCUUUGGCAUGGCCCAUUGGGUGUGGCUUGGUUUCUUGGAUACGGAACCUUAUGUGGGCAUGGGGUCGCUUAAGACCCUGCUUUUGCCCUCGUUAAGCGUUCUUGCUUCUAAAAAGCAACAAUGCGAUCGUGUAUUGACUUGUUCGAUCACGAUCGUUGUUGUCAAAG